rnacentral:rRNA from 1 species
CCUACGGGAGGCAGCAGUAAGGAAUAUUGGUCAAUGGAGGCAACUCUGAACCAGCCAUGCCGCGUGCAGGAUGACGGCCCUAUGGGUUGUAAACUGCUUUUAUACAAGAGAAAACCCUGGUACGUGUACCAGGUUGAUAGUAUUGUAAGAAUAAGCAUCGGCUAACUUCGUGCCAGCAGCCGCGGUAAGACGAAGGAUGCAAGCGUUAUCCGGAUUCAUUGGGUUUAAAGGGUGCGUAGGCGGACUGAUAAGUCAGUGGUGAAAUCUCUUUGCUUAACAAAGAAACUGCCAUUGAUACUGUCGGUCUAGAGUAUAGAUGACGUUGGCGGAAUAUGACAUGUAGUGGUGAAAUACUUAGAUAUGUCAUAGAACACCGAUUGCGAAGGCAGCUAACGAAACUAUAACUGACGCUGAGGCACGAAAGUGCGGGGAUCAAACAGGAUUAGAUACCCUGGUAGUCCGCACCGUAAACGAUGAUUACUCGUUGUUGGCGAUAUGACAGUCAGCGACCAAGCGAAAGCGAUAAGAAUCCACCUGGGGAGUACGCCGGCAACGGUGAAACUUAAAGGAAUUGACGG